UACGAAGGGGGCUAGCGUUGCUCGGAAUUACUGGGCGUAAAGGGCGCGUAGGCGGCACUGUUAGUCAGGCGUGAAAGUCCUGGGCUCAACCUGGGAACUGCGCUUGAUACGGCAGAGCUAGAGGAUGGAAGAGGGUCGCGGAAUUCCCAGUGUAGAGGUGAAAUUCGUAGAUAUGCGGAGGAACACCGGUGGCGAAGGCGACCAUCUGGACGACGACUGACGCUGAGACGCGAAAGCGUGGGGAGCAAACAGG
rnacentral:rRNA from 1 species